rnacentral:miRNA from 14 species
CUAUGCAAGUUUCUACCUCACC